rnacentral:misc_RNA from 1 species
AAAAAAAAAAAAAGGGAAAAAAAAGCUCUCCCUCUCCUCUUUCUCGCUGGAGGUUUGUUUUUCUUUCAUUUUUUCGUUGUCGUUGUUGUUGGGUUUAACAUCCUCGGAGAAACUAGAGAAAGAGAAAAUCCAAAUCCAAAUUCAGAGAACAGAUGGAUUUGGAUCAGUGGAUAGCCAAGGUGAAGGAAGGGCAGCAUCUGUUGGAGGACGAGCUUCAACUUCUAUGCGAAUACGUAAA